rnacentral:rRNA from 1 species
AACGAACGCUGGCGGCAGGCUUAACACAUGCAAGUCGAGCGGGACCUUCGGGUCUAGCGGCGGACGGGUGAGUAACGCGUGGGAACGUGCCCUUCUCUACGGAAUAGCUCCGGGAAACUGGGAGUAAUACCGUAUACGCCCUUUGGGGGAAAGAUUUAUCGGAGAAGGAUCGGCCCGCGUUGGAUUAGGUAGUUGGUGGGGUAAUGGCCCACCAAGCCGACGAUCCAUAGCUGGUUUGAGAGGAUGAUCAGCCACACUGGGACUGAGACACGGCCCAGACUCCUACGGGAGGCAGCAGUGGGGAAUCUUAGACAAUGGGGGCAACCCUGAUCUAGCCAUGCCGCGUGAGUGAUGAAGGCCUUAGGGUUGUAAAGCUCUUUCAGCUGGGAAGAUAAUGACGGUACCAGCAGAAGAAGCCCCGGCUAACUCCGUG